CCUACGGGCGGCAGCAGUGGGGAAUAUUGCACAAUGGGCGCAAGCCUGAUGCAGCCAUGCCGCGUGUGUGAAGAAGGCCUUCGGGUUGUAAAGCACUUUCAGCGGGGAGGAAGGCGGUGAGGUUAAUAACCUCAUCGAUUGACGUUACCCGCAGAAGAAGCACCGGCUAACUCCGUGCCAGCAGCCGCGGUAAUACGGAGGGGGCAAGCGUUAAUCGGAAUUACUGGGCGUAAAGCGCACGCAGGCGGUCUGUCAAGUCGGAUGUGAAAUCCCCGGGCUCAACCUGGGAACUGCAUUCGAAACUGGCAGGCUAGAGUCUUGUAGAGGGGGGUAGAAUUCCAGGUGUAGCGGUGAAAUGCGUAGAGAUCUGGAGGAAUACCGGUGGCGAAGGCGGCCCCCUGGACAAAGACUGACGCUCAGGUGCGAAAGCGUGGGGAGCAAACAGGAUUAGAUACCCUGGUAGUC
rnacentral:rRNA from 1 species